rnacentral:lncRNA from 1 species
AUGUGUACAGGUGUUCAAGGUUGUAUAGAGAAUGAUUUGAUUCAGAGGUCAAUUGAAUUCUCCCUCCUACUGGAUCCCUGUUCAAAUAGACUUAGUAUCAGUAUAGAGAGAGCCAGAUACAACAGAACACUCAGUGAUUUCGAAUAUGGUAAGUUAUUUAAACAUAUGAAUGCAGAUACUGUGGAUUCAUUAUUAUUCAUUGGAUACCAAUUUUUGUGGAUAUCGUGGGUACAGGUGAACCACCAAAUUUAAUGUUCAACAAAUAACAAAUUUUCUAUAGGCUUGUACACAGACUUUUCAGAUAUUUUGAAUUUUUUUAGGAAAACUUUCUAAACUUAACCCUGCAUUAAUUUAAAUCUCUGUGUAGUAAACCAGACCUAUCUACUUUUCUGAUUCAUGGAGGAUUUCCCUUAUUAGAGGUUUUGACUUCAAAGCAGGCACUCAAAAGGAGUUUAAUCAUUCAGAAUCAUAGUAUUGAAAACACUUAUGACAUGUAUAAGAGAUCUAUUAGAUCUGCUUGGGCUUAAAAAAAAAACAUGGAUAUUUGUAGCUAUUGUGAACUGAAAAAUAAGACAUGCAGUAAAAGUCUAUUAUUUUUAAAACCUAUAUGAAAAAAACAUGGAUAUUUGUAGCUAUUGUGAACUGAAAAAUAAGACAUACAGUAAAAGUCUAUUAUUUUUAAAACCUAUGUGACUAAGGUUUCUGCAAAAUUAGAAUUUAGAAGUCCUGCAUGAAGGAGUUUGAUUUGAAAAGGUUUCGCUAUUAAAUUUAAUAAAACAUUUAUAAAUAACUACCAGGUAUUGUUUCUGGUUGCUUAUAUAUUUUUGAAUUAAAAAAGGUUGGUGGUUUCAUAUAUCAUGUUCAAUUUUAUCUAUUUAUAGGAGAGGAUCAUUACUACAAUUUACAAGGAAUUGUCCGUCUCAAGUAAGUGUGUAAUAUACAUACCUGCCAACUUUCACGAUUUAGGCGUGUACUACAUGAUUUUGACCCUCUGUCCCGAUUACACGAUCGUGAUCGUGAAAAUAGCCAAAAAAACACGAUUUUAGUAAAAUUUACACGAAAAAUAUUUUUGUUCCCGAUUUUGAACUUUUGAAAGUUUUCCCAAGGGAGACAAAUCGUGUCUGACAAAUUUCAUCCAAUCAAAAUUUAGUGAUCACGCAUUCACCAGUUGAUUAAUGUCGGCAUAGUAAACAAUCAAAGAAUCGAAAUUUUGAGUUGUUUUUUUUUAGCUUGGGUGUUAAAUUUAUAAAAAUUGGAAUCAUGAUGGGCGAGUUAUCACUUGCAAAAUAGUUCUGUCACCGCCUAAGAAAAAAAAGCGUGUUGCUUCGUGCAAAUACUUAGAGAAAUGGGAGAAUGAUGUCAAGUACAGGGGCUGGUUGUCUAAAUCAACGUUAGGAUUGUCGCAUGCCUUUUGUAAAGUUUGCAACAGAGACUUUAAAGAUGACCACGGUGGCCUUAAUGAUGUCUCCAAACAUUCUAGUACUGCUUGUGAUAUUGAUCUAUAUAAUAUAUGAGGGUUUGGAUGGGGUUAAAUGAUUAAAGAAUAUAAUGCCCUUAAAAAUGAAGAAAUGCGUGGUCAAAUUUUUUGAAGAUUAGAAAAAAAAAGGUUAAUUUUUUGAAGAUUAGAGAAAAAAGGGGUGAAAAUUAAAUGUUUACAGAACAACAGACCCCCCCCCCCCCAUUUCCAGACCCUCAUAUAUUGUUGGUUUUUUUUUGUUAUUAAAUUAUUAAAAUUAUUACUUUUUUUUAUUUCUUGACAAUGUAUCAGACAAACAUAAAGUCAUCUUACUGGUGUUUAUCUCAACAAAAAGAAUACAACAAUCAAACAAUUUAAAAAAAGAUAGGUUAUAAUAGCAUCUUCAACUAUCACCCCCCAAAAAAGAAGUAUGUCAGACACUUUUAGGAGCCAAAUCAUCACACGAAAAAAUGCCGCGAAAAAUUCUACCCUCAAAAAUGGUGCCGCGCACAAAAACCCCCAUGGCCAUUUUCAAAAGUUGGCAGGUAUGAAUAUAAUGGAUUGAAAAGUGCUAGAAAAAGGGAGAAGGUUUGGUACCAUUAAAACGUUUUAAAAUCCCACUUCAAAUGUUUGCACCUGUCCUAAUUUAGGAAUCUACUGUACUGUAGUUGUCGUCUGUUUGUGUAGUUCAUACUUAUACGUGUUUCUCGUUUUUAUAUAGAUUAGACUGUUGGUUUUCCUGUUUAAAUGGUUUUACACUAGUAAUUUUUAGGGCUUUUUAUAGCUUGCUGUUCGGAUUGAGCCAAGGCUCCGUGUUGAAGGGCAUACUUUGACGACCUAUAAUUGUUUACUUUGAUAAAUUGUUACUUGGAUGGAGAGUUGUCUAAUUGGUACUGAUACCACAAUCCUAUAUCUAUGAUAUGUAAAAACUCAUCAAAGAUACAUGGGUUAUAAUUUGGUAGGCUAUUUAUGCCUUGUGGAUGAAAUAGAAAAAAACCACUUGGUUUGUCAAAUAACUUUACACCUUAUAAACCAUUCAUUUACAGGUAAUUAAUAUAUUUAUGAUAUUUCAUGUAAAUGCAAGAGUGUUGCAUCACUAGGCUGGUGUAACUCUCAGGGAAAAAAUCCACCAGCAGUAGUAUGGACCCAAUGGUUGUAAAAACAUCAAAAUACAAAUGUUCCAGUGGUUACUAAGGUCUGAUGGAUGUCUUAGAUAUUACUGGACAAGCUGAUAUUUAACAUUUCUCUCAACCAUUAUUCACUAUAUUCAUCUUUUUAAAAUAAAAUAAUUCAUUUCAUUCACUGCCAACUCAAUGAUUUUCAGAUCAAGUAUUGUUUACCUAUGUGUUUGACUCGUCAUGGUUUUGUUUACAAUGAUCAAUGUUAAACAGGCACUUUCAUCCAAGAUUCCUAAUUAAUCAUGUAUCUUUUAAAGCUCAAAGAAGCUCUUGAUAAUAAGAUGGGCUAAUCGCUUAAUUGUUUCACCACUUCAGAGAGAAAUGAAGCAAGACACAUCAUUUUUUUAAUUUUUUUAAUGCCAUCUCUCAGACAAUUUAUAACCUAUGCAAUGAGACAAAAAAAAAUAUGAAAAAGAGCUUUUGACAUUAUUUUAUUCAAUGAAUUUAGAGCAUACAUUUGGUCCAAGAUGCAACAGAAAAUUACUGGACCAGUCAAAAAUAAUAGUACUUUUGGCAAUGUCCGCCAGAACUUUGAAAUCUCUGAUGUUCACAUAAAACCUUUAUUUCAGAUAUAAUAUAGAAGAUCUGCAUACAGAAGGUUAUUAUCUGUUAAAUGUGGUUGUUUAUUUUUCCUAUGAGACAUCUAGUUCCUAUACACUUGAGAACACCUUUACUAUCUUUGAGAACACCAAGUUACCUAAGAGAGUAUGUAGCUACGAUCAAGGAUUCAAAACCUCAGGUAUGGAAUCAACUAUUUUAAAUUUUUUUAAUUAACUUUUUUUUCUUUUAAAAUCUGAUUGUUUGAAGAAGGAUUUUUGAACUUAUAAUAAUUGCUGCUAAAGUUGUAAAUUUCAGGCUGUGUAAAAAUAUUGUUUGUGUUGAGAAACCCUUUAGAAAGCACAAUAAAAGUUUAUUUUUUAUAUAAGUUUAAGUGUCAAUAGUGAAGGUCCAGACAAGAACUAAAUGAAGGUUUUCAACUGUGAAAUGUUAAUCCAAGGUCAUUGAACUAAAUAUGAAAAUAAUUGAAAUUAAUGGAAAACAAAAAUUAUGGAUUUUGGAAAAAGGGGAGGCUAAAAAACAAUGAUCAGUUCGUAUGAUUAGUAAACUUUUGUCCAUUAUUUCCAGGCUUCUCUAAGACCCAGUGGUAUGCUGACAAUGGAAUAGCAGACGGACAAGUUUUGCCUGACUGGGCAGCCUCAUCAUUCCUCAAUGACCUUCACAUUGCUGCUUAUUUACAGACUGACCAAUGUGGUCAGGGUGAUCUUCAAUAUACAGAUGGAUGGAAUCUUGGUCAGUUUAUUGUUUUCAGCUUUUCUUUACUCUUGUAACUUUUUUAAAUGAUACAAAAUUAUAAUUUUCUUACAAAAUCUCAGUGUUGAAUACUUUACAGAAUACCUAAGGAAAAUACAGAGACUGUAAUUUAAAACAAAAUACUAAAGGAAAUAUGGACACUGUAAAAAUUAUAAAUAUUUUUCGUAAUGGUUUCUUUUAAAUUGCUCAUCAUUGAAAUAAGGUCAACUGUGGAUUCAUUACUAUUCUUUGAACACCAAUUUUUGUGGAUUUUGUGGAUAGAUGUGAUCCAUGAAUGCAAAAGUUUUGUGAGGUAUAAAAUUUUGUAGGAUUGCAAGCAGACUGUACAUGGUAAAACCACAGAAUCAAAUAUCCCAAAAAAUACAAUUUUUCAUCAAUCUGUAAAUACAAAUAAUUCCACAGUAAAUGAUUAUAUCACUGCAAACUUGAUUGAUUGAUUGAUUGAUUGAUUGAUUGAUUGAUUGAUAAACUUCAUAGUCGACUUUAAUAAAAAGAACAAAUUAGAUUAAUUAAAUCAUUGAAUUAUCAAGGCACCUGUGAAACAAGCAUUCUUAAGGGAUCAUGCUUUAAUUUGUCUCCAAUGUUUUCAAACUUGGAUUCCUCAGACCUAAGUAGCACAUGGUACAGCUAUAUAUACAUGAUAUUUAUUUAGCAUGCCCAAAUUCCACACAUUGAUGCUUGCUGUAAGAUUUAGGACCAAAUAUAUCUAAUACUCAUACAUUUUACAGGUUGUACAAAGACUGUCAGUUUACCAAACAUCACCGAUUCCACGAAAUGUCACCUGACCUCAGCUUGUACUGCAGUAGAAUGUUGUACUGAAAUCGACUUCCUCUCAAGGUCAUUCAGGACCUACCUACAUAUUGACCCCUGUACACAAAUAUUAUAUCUUGGAAUUGAACAUUUCAAUAGAAAUGUAUCCUUGAUUGGUUACAUGGAUGGUAGGUACAAUGACGUUAUUUGAUUAGGGCAAUAUGUCACUUAUUAUACAGCUGGGGUAUGAGCUGACUAGUGAAUGUAAAGCUAAAUUCUAUCUGGAAGAAAUAUUAUCUGGGGGAAAAAAUGUUACAGAAGUUGUUGUUAUCUUUUUAUCUAGGAAAAUAUUUCACUGUGAUAUAUUAUCCAUUGCCGUGAAAUUCUAUCUUGGAAGUUAAAAUAUUAAUAUAGUUAAUAAAAAAACUUAAUUUUUGCAAAUACGAUGUACUAAUAAUAAUGUAUUUGAAUAUAAGCUAAAUAAGAAAAUAAAAAAGAAAAUAAAUGUAUUAUAAUGGUAAAUAAUUUUACAGAUUAUAAUUGAAAAUAAUAUCCUGAAAUAUUAAAGUAAAUAUCAUUCUUUAAAGAGACAAAUAUUAUGAAACAUAUGAAACAAAACCAGAAGUAUAAAUUUCACAGAUCUUAAUCGGGAAAUAAUAUUAUGAUCAAUUUAAUAUAUAAAAUAAGGUAGUGAAAUGCAGGUAAAAGUGAGCUGUUUUCAGAUCUCAGUACAACUAAAAAAAAAGUAAAGGUAGAAAUAUAGUUAUUUUUUAAAUCAUGUUUUAAGACAUCUUUUUAAAUAAAUUAAUAUAAGAAAAUUAAGAAUAAAGGAAAACUUUCACUAUGAAAUAGAUUUCAGAAUAUAAUAUCUAUAAAAUAUAAAUGGCUCAUAAUAACCUCCCUUUGCUUGAUAAAUUAUGCAAAUAUGUUCUACCUUUGUGAAACAUUUAUAAUUAUGGUCAGGUAUGUAUUGAUUGCGAGUACCUUACAUAGUAGACAGUGGUACUCUAUUUCACAAGGUUCAGUGAAAUAUGGAAGGGAAAAUAUAUACUGGUAAAUACUAUCCGAAAAGGACAGAUUGAAUUUCACUCCUCUGGAUAAAAUCUACCUGUGAAAUGCCAUGUCUGGGAAAAAAUACUGUGACAAAUCAUCCCCAGGAUAAAAUAUCACAGAGGAAGAAAUAAACCGUUACAUGAACAGUUCCCAGAUUAACUGAUAAUUUAACCUUUAUUGUAAAAGGCUAUUGAAAUUUGGUAUAAAUUGUUAACAUUGAAUUUAAUUAUGAAUUAACUGUUAACAAAACUUUCAAUUUUUUGAAAUUCUAAGGAUUUUCUCCCACAGGGAUAGAUAUAAGCUAAUUUUUGUAAAACCUUUUGGAAUUUGUUUUCUGUAGACCAAAUACGCAUAUGGUGUACAAAAGUUUAUAAUAAUCCUAGUAUCUAUGAUGAGUUUAUUUACACAUAUUAUUAUAAUCUUUCAAGGGAAUUUUGAGUGAUUUUUAAAAAAAAAAUCUUAUAAUGAAAAGCACUUCUUUUUUGUCAUGUUUCGUCAUAGCAUUUAUUGCACACAAUUUUAGACAAUCAAUGCUAAUGAUUUAAAACUAGAAAAUCCUUCAAAUCAGCUGAAUAUAGUGAAUAAUGUUUGAGGAGUUUCAGUAUAUUUUUUCCAUAUAUUUUCAGAUGAAUACAGUGAUUCUUGUAUGAUAAAUUUCAGUUGAUUUCUUUAUAUAUUUUAGGAACCAAGCAACAGUUUGCACUUGUUGGAUCAGUCAUGAUUGAGUGAGUGUUGUGUUUAAUUAUUGGGAUUGGCUUUUUUCCAUACCAUAAGAAUAAGCUGUAACAAAAACAAACAAAAAAACACAGGCAAAUUAUAAGCCAUGGAGGAAAAAAACACAAUAAGACAGAUAACUUGCCACAAAAAGCUACAUAAAAAACUUGUUCUCUCGAGAACUCUGCUGCUCUUCUUUUCAUGAAAAUAAAUUUCUUUAGUUUUGUGACUUCUUUUGAUGAAGGCUUAUAUUUAAAAAAAUGACAUUUGAAUAUCAUUUAAUGAUACAUUUGUCUUAUUUAUACUUAAAUGUAACAUUUCAUUAUAUUUUCCAGCUAUAUGAUUGAAGAUAUACCAGGAGAGAGUAUGUAUUGGUCAGUAUGAAUAUAUCUUACUGUUACGAGGAUGGACAGCCGUGUUAUAUGGUCACUACAGUGUUUGACAAUACCAGAUUACCUAAAGAUAUAUGUGAAUGGAAAACUGACUACCAUAUUCCAAGUAAGUCAAGUUGUUUCCAAAUGCUAACACAAAUACUUUUUAUCAGAUUGCAACCUUACUUAGAUGUGUCACAAAUAAUUAGAAAAAGACCCCUUUUGCCAUUUUCAAUUUUCAUGUUUUUUUUCCUCUUAUCUACCGUCAAAUUUUGUAACUAAGGAGCCGCCAUGCCAUGUUGACUUGCUGAAAUCAGUAAAUAUGCGAAUAAUGCAAAACAAUAGAAAAUUCAACAAAACCUACCUCAAAAAUCAAUUUAAAUAUCAUAUUAUACAAAUUUGUAUGGCUCACAUAACAGAAAACUUUCAACUCUAGUGUUUUCAUUUAUAUGAUGUCAUGUUUUGAAAUUACUUAAAUGGGCAAAAAUCAUUAAUAGAUUUUUGCAGAAUUUUAUUUUAUUUUUAUUUUGUUGUUUUCUCCGAGCUUUUGUGCAUUACUUCUUUUUAUUUUGCAUUCGAAUGAACAAGAAGAAAACUUAAUUUUACUUUUUUUAAAUGCAAUUUUUAAAACAAUAAAAUCGGCAAAGGUUUGCAAAUAGGUUCCAAUACAUGUGGAUUUACGUGGGAAGUAUAUUGUAACAGCCAUUAUUAUGUAUAUCUCUGAUUCUGCGCUAAGUAUAGAUAUAUAUUUAGAAUUUUAUCACAGUGUUGUUAACAAAGCGAAAGAAGCAUGUCAUAUAAGAAUUAAAAUUUUUAUCCGCUACAUUUUUUUUUUACAGAUUUUUCAUUUGAGACUUGGCAAGGAGAUCAAGGAUUGACCAUAGGUGACCCAUUACCAAUGUGGGCAGAAUUUUUGUUGUUUGAACAAACUGGUCUGUCUCCUUAUUUACAAGACAGUCUGUUUCAAUGCAGUAGAACCAGUGCUAAAUUUAACUCUUCUAAUGCUAGUGGAUGGAGUAAUGGUAGGUGUCGUCAUUAAUAUUUUAAGAUAUAAAUGGCCUGUCCUGUUAAACUUUCGAUAGUGAACCCUUAUAGGAAUUUGAUUGCUCCUGUAAUAUUUGAAAAAAAAUAUUGUUUUAUGUUUAUAUACCUGAUGUGCAAAUGAAUGUUUUAUUACAUCCUGUUAGUAUAUUUUUUUUUAAUUUUUUGUAAGUGUCAGUGUCUGAGGAAGAAGUAAAGCAAGUUCAUCAAUCUAUUUAAAUUACUUUUGAAAAACGAAAUCACGGUAAACUAUGACUAGAGUUAUUGUUUUCAUUUUUUAUACAAAACAUAUUAGAUAAAGAAGGCCUCACCAAUUUGAUUCUUAGUUCUUUGGAUUUUCCUUCUCUGUUUUGGAGAAAUUAACUUUUCAAUUAAAACCAAAAAUUACUGCUUCCAUGAAUUUUUGAUACGCUUCUGCUCUAAUUUAGAAAAAAUUCACAAAUGCUUCUGAUUUUGUAUACGUUGUACUACAAAGUAAGGUUGUUUUUUUUUUUUUUUUAAGUAUAUAUAUACAAUAUUAAUUAGUGUCAAAAGUAUCUAAUAGAAUUCAUUUUGGAAUAUGUUGUUCAAUUUUACAGUAAUAAUCUUGUUUUAUUUAUUUUUAGAAUGUAGCCUGAAUACCACCAUACCAGAUCUACCUAGCAGUUACACGGAUAUAACAUGUCAUGUGACAUCAAGGUGUACAGAAAUCGAGUGCUGUGUUGACUCUGUCAAGCUUCAAAGACCUUUCCAUGUGGUUGUCAAAUUAGAUCCAUGCAAGUUUGUCAUCAAUGUAGGAAUUGAAAACUUUCAAUUCAUAUUGGCCAUGGCAGACUAUACAUUUGGUAAGUUGUUUCUCAAUUUUCAUGUCUCAAUUUCGUCUUUAAUAUGCUUGAAAUAUUUAUCACUGUUCUUGAAGCAAACACCAACCAUUGAAAUACUGAUAAAUCUGUACAAUAGACAGAAAUUUUACUUUACAUAAUCAAGGUAUGAUAAGGGCACUUAUUUUACUGAUUGAAUUUAAAAAUCAAAAAGUAUGAUGACAGGCCUUUACUUUUUUCUUUUUUUUAAUUGACUAUUCAGGCAAGUUACAAAAUAUCAACCCACUUCUAAAGUUCUCAAAUAAGUUAAUGCUAUCCUUACAUAAUGACACUAUUUUUAGAUCAUGUUCAACUUCUAGCAUACAUAAUAAAGGCAAAUAAAGGAGAGCAUUUUGUAAGCAUUUAAUGGUUUUUAUCUGAGAUCAGAUUCAUAUAUUUUUGACAUACACAAUACCAUUGCUUUUAUAACAUCUUCUAUUUUAGGUGAACAGAGGAACUUCUCCUUAGGAGGAAUAAUCAAAGCUCAGUAAGUGAAUAUGAAUAAAAUCACUCAUAGAAACUUAAAAAUCAAGAUUGACAUUUUUCCAGUUGUGUCUAUUCUAUAAUAAUCUUAAAAGAUAUGCCAGCCUUUUUGAUCUUCAUUUUUAUGGCCCUGCAACGAAGUUGUCGGUGCCAUAUAGUUUUACCCUUUUCCGAUAUUCAGAUAUUCCGAAAUUCUGUAAGUCCGUAAUUCCGUCAUUCCGUCCUUCCGCAAUUAAACAGUGUUUUUUUCUAAACGCCUUCAGAUAUUGGGCUGAUUUUUAGUAUGUGAGUUAACCAUAAUAAGUUAGAUAAGUUUAAGUUUGUUCCGUCCAAUAAUUUUGACGAAAUUACAGCUUUGACUUUGAAAUUGUUGAAAAUCACAGUUAUACACUUUUUUUCUAAACGCCUGCAGAUAUUGGGCUGAUUUUUGGUAUGUCAGUUAACCAUGAUGAGUUACAGAUCAAGUUUAAGUUUCAUUCUGCUCCACUAAUUUUUGACGAAAUAAGGCUUUGACUUUUGAGAAUUUUGAAAAUCACAGUUAUACAGACUUUUUUUCUAUACGCCUCCAGAUUUUGAACUGAUUUUUGAUAUGUGAGACUACCAUCAUGUUUGUGUCCACAUGUGUUUAUAGUGAAAUUGCAGAUUUUUCAACUUUUUGGGACGGGGCCAUUUGUGUCGCUUUGACACAUCUAAUUUUAUAAAGAUUUUGCAGUAUGAAACUACACAGUUUGAUGUUUACAGAUAUCAUAGUACCAAUAUUCUAAUCUUUUUUAACAUUCUAAAUGUUUCAGGGAUCUUAAUUUAAAAGAAAAAUAAACUACUGAUAGUUUAAGUAAAAAGUAUUUCCAUUGCUCACUAUUGUACUCCCUUUAUAGUAAUUAAUUCACUUUCUGUUUUGUAGGUUUAUUGUGUCAGAUAUUGAGUCAGAAAAUUCCUACCUAAUAGAUAUGAAAGUUUCUGUAUGUACGGAGAGUGCCCAGGCUUGUGAGCAAGAUUAUGAGAUUGCAGAAAAUGUCCUUCUACCAAAAAAGCAAUGCACAUGGGACGCAGGAUUUGUUCAUACAAGUAAGUCAAGUACACAAUACACUAAUUGUGUGUACAGUGCAACAAAUAUCACAUGAAGCAUGAAAAUAUAAUUUAUUAUCAAGGAAACCUCUUUCAUUACUACUCCAUAUCAACAGUCACUUGUAAAUCUUUUCAGGAAAAGGUUAUUACAAAUAUUAAAUCAUCAAUGUUUAGUGAGAAAAACGUUUAGUAAGAAAAAAAUAUCAGUUUGUUAUUUGCAUGUGCUAAAGAAAUGAUUUUUAUGCCCCACCUACGAUAGUAGAGGGGCAUUAAGUUUUCUGGUUUGUGGGUCCGUUCGUCCGUCUGUUCAUCUGUCUGUUCUUUCCUCCCGCUUCAGGUUAAAGUUUUUGGUCAAGGUUGUUUUUGAUGAAGUUGAAGUCCAAUCAACUUGAAACUUAGUUCACAUGUUUCCUAUGAUAUGAUCUUUCUAAUUUAAAUGCCAAAUUAGAGUUUUUACCCCAAUUUCACGGUCCACUGAACAUUGAAAAUGAUAGUGCAGAUGGGGCAUCCGUGUACUGGGGACACAUUCUUGUUUUUAUUUCUCUGAUGUAACCAUGUUACUGAGAAAUCAAUUUUAUACUAUAAACACAAGUUAUAAUAGACUAGAAAAAAGCUUCUGUUUGUUGGAAGAAGCAUUCUAUUUGAUGUCAGAUGUUUUAUGCCCCCUGCUUUCUGAAGCAGUUCUUUUAGAUUAAAUGGACAAUGAAAUAAUCAUGUUCUGGUAAUUCUGCAGUAAAAUGCCCAUUGCAAACAUAGCAAUAAUUUCCAAAUAUUCUUUAUAUGUCUGAAAGGCAAAGUAAAUACAAGUUGGAAGCAUACUUGCCAACCUCUGACAAUGAGAAAUCAUGUCAUGUCAUGUCAAAAAGUGUGUGAAAACACAUGACAUAGAUGCAGACUACUUAAUAUGAACAAUGUUCAUAAUUUCACGUUAUACAAAUUUGUUAUAAAAAACAAUUUUCUACUGUAAACUUUUAUUGUAUUCAACAGUGGUCUGUUUAGCUGCUUUUAAAGCAACACCAAUAGAUAUAGGCACAUAUUCAAAAUAACUGCCAGUUUGGUUACAUUGACUUGAUUACAAGGAACACAAUAUAUAUUAUUGCCAAGUUCUGAUCAUAAUUCAGUGUAAAUUUCUUUAUAAUUAAAAAUGCUCUCUCACAGUCAUAAUUAAUAUUUGGCUGUCCAGAAUAGCUUUAUCAAGCUUUGAAAGAGUGUCAUCAUGGUUAUAAAGUUUUUUAUGCUAUGUAAAAUUUCAUCUGUUAUCUCUGCCAUUGCUCCCAACAAACUGUAUAUGUUGCUAUUGCCUGGUCAAAACUAGGUAGUUCAUCAGAACACAGCUCUGUGAUAUUUCAAUCCCAUAUGGCCUGUGGAAAUCUGCUGGCUAGAUUUGAAACUGAAAAAAAAAAUUAUAAUUUGAUUACCAUUAAACAGGAUAAAUGGUUAACCAAAUAGCUAAAUUGUAGUUCUCCUCUCACAUGUAUUGUUAUGAUUGCAACAUAGGUUGCACAUUGUUUUACUCGUCCCUCGAUCAUUCAAACUGGAACUUCCAAAAUUAUAAUGAAAUAUAAUUUAUAAAUCUUGAAUCUUCAAGGUACGUGCACAUCGUUUUUGCUUAGCAAUCGACUCUUUAGACGACAGUACAGGUCCUGAAAGCAACUUCUUUCUGUGGGCAUUUCCCCUAAGUGAAUUUGAAAGAAAGAAAGUCACAAAAACUUAAAAACUAAUCACUACUUACCAUAAGGGAAUUUGCUGUUCGUCAUAAAUAUAGAGAGAAAAAACAAUGGCGACCAAACAAUUACGUCGAAAUGUUUAGUAUUUAUCAUUUUAUAAUAAAAAAACUUGAGAAUCGCAAUAUCACUAAUGUCCAAAAAAUUGAAAAACAAAGAAAAAGCGUAUAAUUGCGUGGAAAGUGGCAAAAAACAUGUUCACACAAUGUGACAAAAUCCUCACAUGUAAACUGUUGAAAAAGCUUGUAUUACAGGUGAAUAUCAUGUCAGUUGGCAGCUAUGGUUGGACGAUUUUUCGAUACAUCUUCUUUAUAAGCAGGUUUUUAAUUGUCACCCAGUGAUUGAUGAGUUUUAAUUUUUAAAAAGAACACAAUAUAAUAAUGAAGAUACUCUAACAUCUAUGAUGAAAAUUAUAAUGCAGCAAUAGAUGAAUAAAAUCACAUUUGUUUGCACAAACAAGGAAAGAAAUAUACAACCACAAAAAUAAACAUUACGAGGGUACAUUAGGUCCAAGGACACAGUUAUCGUCCUUUGGUUUUCGUUGUCUACGAAUAUAGUCCCUAGUAUGAACAGUGUAUAACUUGCAUGUUUAAUUUGAUACACUUUCCCAAUUUAUAAGUAGGGGGAUGUAAUUACAUGUUAUUAGUAUUUUGGUGCUGAAUCUUUAUGUUAAGUAGUGAUUUGGUCCAGUUCAAAAAGGUCAAAUUUUAUCACGUCUGAAGCUGUCAAACUGAAUUUUACACCCCCUUAACAUAGAGUUGUCAAUAUUUUGAGUUAGAGCUGGUAGAAGUUUCUACAAUUUUGAUAUUAUUUGUCUCACUAGUAGAACACUACACUGUAAAAAUCUUUUUAAGAAAGAGCAGGUGCGAUUUUUUUAAUUUGAAUUUUUUGUCUAAAAGAAAUGCACUACGAAAUAACUGUGUUCUCAGGCCAUUACACAAUUUAUUAGUGCCUAUUUUUAUAUUUUUUCAGACAUCUCUUUAACACAGUUUAAAGUUGAUAAUCAGAUCUCUGGAAACUUGGAAAGCCAUGAUGCCUCUCGGUUUUUGAAGGAAGCUUUGAUAUCUUAUUACCUAUUAGCCACACCAUGUGACAGAAGCAGUGACACAUAUUCAUCUGCAGUAAAUGGAUGGACUUCAGGUUAGUGAAUCAGAAUUUACAGUAGGGUCACUAAAUACAAAGUUGACUGUAUAAAAGGAGAUGCUGGGUCAGGGGUCGAAAUUAGCGCUAUCUGGUAGUCCGGGACUAGUAAAUUUGCGUCGACCAGUAGAUUUUGUUCAGCUGUGGUCCGGCGGACCAGUAGAAAUUUGUCGAUAAAAUACUGAAUUGCAUCGCAAUCUCUGUUUGUUUAAAAAACAAUUUACCUGCAAUUACACGGUACUGGGGGGUAUUACAAUUGAUCAAGUUAAUUAAUGUCUCGGGUGAGUGUCCUUCACAACAAUAUAAAAUGUGGAAAUUUUUGGAAGAGUUAAACGCGGACAAAAAAAUUAGAUAACUGAAAAUCAAGGAAGAUCGAAAUAAAGUAACGAAAGUGACAAAAGGAAACGCAAAUACAAAAAUCAUGGAAAAAUGUGAAAUGGUUGCAUUAUAUAGUAGAUCGGAAUUUAAUGAACUGUACAAUAUGUGAAAAAUUUGCAGUGACAGACCUAGAUAGGAAAUGUAUUUUCGUAACUGGAUCGUCAAAUUUCAGAUUGGAUUCUGUACUUGCUCAUGAGCAAUCAGAACAGCACAAAAAAUCUUUCUGUCCUUGAUCCUGAUUUUGAUAAAGAAAAUCAUUGAGAUUACCAAAGCCUUUAUCAAAAUCAUAAUAAAGACUAUUCCUUUGUCUAACUUAUGUAAACGAAAGCAUCAAAAUAAAAUUAAACAUCUGUCAUUUAUAUUAGUGUUUGUCAAAUUAAUGUCAUUUUUGCAGGACCAGUAGAUUUGGAGCCGGACCAGUAGAGUUUUCAGUCCAUUGGUCCGGCUGGCCAGUACACAAAAAAGCUUAAAUUCGACCCCUGUGCUGGGUAUACAUCAUUGAGACAUUAACCCAACAUCACAAAUAUGAAAAUUACAUUAAGGGGCCAGUAUACAGACAGUUAAUCUCAUUUUACACUAAUUUGUAUGAUGAUAUAUAAAAAAGAAGAUGUGGCAUAAUUGCAAAUGAGACAACUUUUCUAGACAACUUUUCUAAAGAGAUCAAAUGACACAGAAAUUAACAACUACAGGUCACCAUAAGGCAAAUAAGCAAUAAGCAAAGUCAUACCACAUAGUCAGCUAUAACAGGCCCCGAAAUGAAAAAUGUAAAGCAAUUCAAACAAGAUAACUAUGAUGAUGGUAAAAAUUUAUUGCCUUUGUCUUUUUUUUAGCUUGUUCUGUUCUUCCCACAAGUAGCUUGCCAGCACUCAUGAAUACUGUUUCAUGUAGCUUUGACAUCUCCUGUGAAAAAGUUACAUGUUGUUUUGAAGAAACAGAAUUAGGUAGAAGUAUCCAGGCCAGUGUUCAGAUAGAUGCAUGUAAAGGAGAGCUGAUUGUGACGCUUGAGAGAAUGACCAGAACUAUAUCCUUGACUGGCUAUGUUUGGGGUAAUUAUUCAAUGUUUUUAUGUCUCCUAAGAAGGUAUACUGGUGUACCUCUGUCCAUAUAUUUGUUUGACAGUUAUAUAUUUCUGUCUAAUUUUCCUCUGCAACUACAUUUAGCCUUUAGAUGUUUAUUUUAGCUUUAUCUUGGUAAACAACACUGUGAAACAUGUUUUCAGUUUCUACAUUGGUCUACUUCCUAUUUGCCAAAAAUUAUAUCUUUAAAAUGUCAUGCACAUAUAUUUGAAAUUUUCCUAACUUUUUUUCAGCAACUACAAGUCAGAACAUCUAUAUUUCUUGAGCAAUAGAACUCAUUAUGUCAUUGUGAACUUUAAAAAGAUUGGAGAGAAAAAAAUCUGAGUUAACUUCAGUACAGAAAAUUAUUAAAAAAAAAUAUUUUAAGGACAUAUGUAAAAUUAGGUGUUUUUAUUAAUAAAGGAAUAUAUAUUCCAUAUUUUCAAUAUUUGAACUUGCUUCCUCUCAACAUUUAUAAGAUAUUGCAACAUAUAAUGAAAAACUAAUUACUUGUGUUUCCUAUAUUAGUUUACUGCAUAAAAAGCCUCAUUUUUUUUUAAAACAAAUAACAUUACUAUUUCAGGAACAGAGGAAGUGUACAAGUUGAAUGGAGUCUAUGGCCUUAGGUAAGUAAAAUAGUUAUGAAAGCACUGACAAUUAUAUGAUUAAAAAGGUACAAAAAAAUUUGUUCUGGCAUGACAUUUGUUCUGCCAGAACAUAUUCCAUAGGAAAUAUGUUCCACUGGAUAUUUAUAUCACAGAAAAUUUAUAUAUUUUAUAAGGAAAUGUGUUCCAGCACUGUAAUUUUUUUAAGAAUUAUAUAGAAAUCAUCUGUGGAUAACAGUCCUCCCAGAAUAUAUUUCCAUAUUAAAUAUGUUCCACUGGAACUUUUUUCACAGGAACAAAUUUUGGCUCACACACAGUGUGUUACAAGUUGACAUACGAAAAAUUAUCUAGUAUGUAUUAUCUUUGGUUCUGAGUUUUGUUUUAAAAGAAAUUUAAGCAUCCUAGAAAUUAUAUUGCUGUUCUUCAUCUUAAAAUUAUUUUCACAAUAAUUCAACAGCACAUACUCUUUACAAUAUUAAACGACAAGUCCCUUUGAUUAUACUUUGAAGCUGAUUAUGACUAUAUAUUUAAAUGAUAAAUUACAUGAAAAAAGAAAUGAAUUAAGUUUUUCAUUUCAAAUAAUUAUUUUAAAAAGUGGAGGUAUACUACUGUGUGAUGAGAUUUCAGAUUCAUCACUCAAAAACUUCCUGUUUACUGAACACUUACAUCAUUUUAAACAUGACAUCCAAGUUGAAAAUUUUUGUAACAUUUUUCUCAGGAAGUACAAAACAAGGAUUUCUGAAAAUUGGUUUCAGAUUCAUCACCCAACAACUUCCUGUUAAAAAAAAAUGUAAAAAUUUCAAUUUCGCAUAAAAAUUAGUACGUUGUGAACAAUUGUAUGGGUUUGUUUCUAUAAUAUUAUAUAUAUAUGAUAUUGUAGAUUUACAGCAAAAAACAUUUCAUGAUAUUGUAGGUUUAGAGUGAACAAUCUUGUGACCAGUAACAAAUACUUAGUGAAUAUGGACCUGAUGGCAUGUUAUGAAGCCAGCGGUGCCUGUGCUUUACAAGAAACCAUCUUCACUGACUUUGAACUUGCAAAACAAGUUUGUGAUAGAUCAACAGGAUUUAUUAAUUCUCAGUGUGAGUGUGCAAAACUUUGCAUGUAUUUUUCUGAGUCUCUUUCAACUUGUUGUUUUCUUUUUCUUUUUUUCAUCAAAAUUUAUGUAUCUAUCUUUUCUAUUAUUUUUGUAGGAUACAUUUCUGUUUAUUCAUAAAUUUUGUAGAAAUCUAUUUUUAUGUGAAUUAUCAGGCUUAUGAUUUUUUUUUCUUAUUCUAAGAAUACAAUAUCAAAUAUAUUUUUUGUGUCUGACACAUUCCCCAUUUCCAUUUUGAUAAUAUUUUUCUGAUAGUGACGUAAUUUUUCAAUAGCUAUAUAUUGGCUGAAAACCUUAAUACAAAAUAUUGGCAAAAACAAUUUUAUUACAGUUUCCUAUAGUUCAUGGCUAUCAUCAGUUGGUCUACCAGCCAAUACUUCACCCCUACCAGAAUGGGCCAGACUACAGCUGAUUGACGAUCUUGAUGUCAAUAAUUACUUCAGUCUUGAAGACACAUGUUACAAUGUAACGACUCCAUUUAUGACAGCAACUGCAACAAAUGGCUUCAAUAAUGGUAUGUAGUAUGCUAAAUUAAGCAGUUACUAGUCUCCUUUAAAUUUUGACAUUUCAGAGCCUUUUAUUGAUUGCUAUGCUGUAUGGGAUUUGCUCAUUGUUGAAGGCAAGACAGUGACAUGUGGUUGCAAAUUUCUCCACCUCUAGCAAUCAUACCACCUUUUCUUAUUAAAAAACUUUUAAUGUAACUGAAUUUUUUAACUGUUACCUAGAAGAUGAGUAAACUGUGAUGUGUUUUAAAAUUUUGCAUGGAUUUCAAAAGAUUUGAUGGUUUCAAAUUUAGUGCACAGAUUAUAUGAGAUUGAAAAAGUAAAUAAUUCAACUAUAAGAUCAUGUUUUGCUUAAAAUCACAUCUAAGCUGGAACUUGGGCAAAUCAUCAGUCUCAUGAAUUAGGUUUCUUAACUUAUAUUACUAGUAUUCUGAUUUCAUUUCUAAAAAUUUAUUUGUAAAACUUCUGUCACAGACUAAAUAUAACAUGUACAUGUACUGAAAAUGUGUUUAAAAAAGAAAUGAAAGGGAGAGGGGCAGGGGCGUAGCAGCCGGUACGGCAGGUACGGCACUCGCCGUACCAAUAAUGUUCGUUGGUACGGCAUGCCGUACUAAAUUUAUUAUAAAAAAUAUAAAAAAAAUAAGGGUUUUCAACGGAAAUAAAGAAAAUAAAGAUUUUACAGAAAAAAAUCAUGAUAGAAAGGUCUAUGUAGAAGUCAUAGCAAUAUACGGUAUACAUUCAUAAGCAAAGUUUGAAAACUCGUAUACGUAGUAUAUACGAUAACGAAUAAUCGCCCUGUAUUAAUCAAAGUACAGAUUUUUUUUUACUUACAAAAGAUUUUAAUUGACCAUGCAUAUGGUCAUGAACAGUCAUAGUACUGUCAAUAGCAUGUUACUGCCUUCUACAAUUGUUCUGGUUUAAACACAAAUGGCAUGGAAGAAUCAAAGUUGGAACUCUCAAAUGGAGAAACAAACGUUGUGCGGCAAGCAUGGAAUUUUGUGCGACUGGCAUACAAGAUUAAAGUUUAGCAAGCUAUAAAACCAGUUUUAGUCCAGCAUUUUCUACUUUAGAAAAUACCUGUACCAUGUCAGGAAUAUGAAAGUUGUUAUUCAUUCGUUUGAUGUGUUUAAGCUUUUGACUUUACCAUUUGAUAACGGUAUUUUCGUUUUGAAUGUUCCUGGCGGGGUUCGUAUUUUUGCUAUUUUAUUUUUUGCAACAAAAAUAUUGUCAGUUACUCUGUAUGCAUGCACCAUAAAGUUUAAGUAAUCAUGACUAAAAUAUAAACGAAUUGUCCCAAUUUUAAUGCGUGCCGAUCUAUCCGCUACAGAGACAAAUAAACGAUCUCCACAUCGUUAAAAUGCACAUUCUGCUUCUAGGCACCAAGACGAUCGGAAUAUAAUCCAACUUCAACAACACCAUAUACAGUAAACACAUUUUUUACUGUUUUAUCAAUAGUCAUGUUUUGGUAAUAUCUAUUUGACGUGGCUCGGUACUUAUACAUCCCGCCAUUGUGAAUGUGUGAUAUCAUUUGUGCUAUGGUAAAUUUUUGUGAUCGUGUCUUUCAUUUUUGCUAAUGUGCGUUGUAUAUAUGGCUUUUGUUUCCUUCAAGAUUUUAAGAAGUGUUUUUUGCAAAGAAUGUUGCAUUUUGAACAAAACUACGAAAAACAUUGAAAUGCGAUUUUNNNNNNNNNNNNNNNNNNNNNNNNNNNNNNNNNNNNNNNNNNNNNNNNNNNNNNNNNNNNNNNNNNNNNNNNNNNNNNNNNNNNNNNNNNNNNNNNNNNNNNNNNNNNNNNNNNNNNNNNNNNNNNNNNNNNNNNNNNNNNNNNNNNNNNNNNNNNNNNNNNNNNNNNNNNNNNNNNNNNNNNNNNNNNNNNNNNNNNNNNNNNNNNNNNNNNNNNNNNNNNNNNNNNNNNNNNNNNNNNNNNNNNNNNNNNNNNNNNNNNNNNNNNNNNNNNNNNNNNNNNNNNNNNNNNNNNNNNNNNNNNNNNNNNNNNNNNNNNNNNNNNNNNNNNNNNNNNNNNNNNNNNNNNNNNNNNNNNNNNNNNNNNNNNNNNNNNNNNNNNNNNNNNNNNNNNNNNNNNNNNNNNNNNNNNNNNNNNNNNNNNNNNNNNNNNNNNNNNNNNNNNNNNNNNNNNNNNNNNNNNNNNNNNNNNNNNNNNNNNNNNNNNNNNNNNNNNNNNNNNNNNNNNNNNNNNNNNNNNNNNNNNNNNNNNNNNNNNNNNNNNNNNNNNNNNNNNNNNNNNNNNNNNNNNNNNNNNNNNNNNNNNNNNNNNNNNNNNNNNNNNNNNNNNNNNNNNNNNNNNNNNNNNNNNNNNNNNNNNNNNNNNNNNNNNNNNNNNNNNNNNNNNNNNNNNNNNNNNNNNNNNNNNNNNNNNNNNNNNNNNNNNNNNNNNNNNNNNNNNNNNNNNNNNNNNNNNNNNNNNNNNNNNNNNNNNNNNNNNNNNNNNNNNNNNNNNNNNNNNNNNNNNNNNNNNNNNNNNNNNNNNNNNNNNNNNNNNNNNNNNNNNNNNNNNNNNNNNNNNNNNNNNNNNNNNNNNNNNNNNNNNNNNNNNNNNNNNNNNNNNNNNNNNNNNNNNNNNNNNNNNNNNNNNNNNNNNNNNNNNNNNNNNNNNNNNNNNNNNNNNNNNNNNNNNNNNNNNNNNNNNNNNNNNNNNNNNNNNNNNNNNNNNNNNNNNNNNNNNNUUUAUUUAUAAAUAUUUUAGAAAAUUCUCUAAUGUUUUUUAUUGUAUUUUUUUUUCAAAACAAACAUCUACAGCAAUACCACAAAUGUGUAUACUGCAUAUCCUUAUUGAUAUAUUUUACAGGGUUGAAAAGAUUGUUAUUUUAUCCCUAAAUAAUUUAAUUUUGGGUGUAACACGUCUUCUGAUUGGCUGACUUUAUUUUGUAUCAGCCAUAGACUAAUUAGAAUAGCUGACAGUGACGUCAUCAACGUUUUUCAUGUUUUCUACGGUUUAAACUGGAAUUUAGAAUUAAAAUUAUAAGAAAUGACUGUAAUAUUUUUUCUGUCUAUUCGAAUAAAUAGAAAAUUUGGUGCACACUGUUAAAUAACCGCUACGCACGUUAUUCAGUGUGCACCAAAUUUUUUAUGUUAUUUCUUCAUAGACAGAAAAAAUAUUGUAGUCAUUCCUUAAAUGUUUUUUUUUUAAAACUGAAGAUUCUAAGGAUAUUCUUUUAUAGUAAAGCUAAAAUAAUUUUUUGACGUCUUGCAUUAAAUCUAGCAAUUAUUUAUUGUAAUUGAAGAUUCUGCUAUUGUAUACUACAUAAUUUUGAUUAUUUAUGUAUUUUAAAAAAUGUACUUACCGUAUUGUCAGCAUAAUAUUAUAUAGUAAGGAAAUAAUAUUUGUAAUAGUUGAUAAUUUGCGUUGUCAAUGUUGCAUUGAAUAUCUUUUCUGUAUAUAUGGCAUACAUGAAACCUAUAGAAAUUCUUACUUGGUAGGCUAAAUUUUUUACCAUUGUUGUAGAUAUUUUUUCAUAUUUUUUUCUUCUAAUUGCUUGUUUGGGUUCCUUAUCUUUCUUUAGUUUUCUAAAACAUUAAAAGAUGGAGGAAUUUUUAGCCUAAAUUAUGACAAACAAAUAAAAUAUUUGAAAAAAGCAUAAAAGAUUAAAGGCAAAAUUGGAAGUUUUAUUUGUUUAUUAGAUAUAUUUAUUUAUUUUGAAGAAUCAUUUUUAAAAUUGGAAGUUUCUUCUACCUUUUAUUUUUAAAUAUUUGAAUACCUACGCAAUAAAUGUCCUUGUUGAAUAUUUCAAAGUCUCAGGACACAUUCAUGAUUAAGGUACAUUCUGUCAGGAAUUUUAGUUUCAUUUUGGAAUUUAAAAACAAGAAGUCACAUAAUUGGCUAUCAACUAAUCAAUAAAGCAUUCCCCUAAUUAAAUAAUGUUAUAUAAUUAUGAAGAAUCACUGUAGUAGUCUUUAAAAGGUCCCAGUGAUUGAGGGAUCAAAAUAGUUGGUCAACAUCUACCUGUACAGCUUUUGAUCUAUGAGUAUGUGACAUUAUUUGUUUUCCAAGGGAUACAAUGCUGUAAAUUAAUCUGACUUCAUAGCCAGCAUGAGUAUUUCAUAUCAUUUUUGCUUGAAUGAUAUUUACAAAAUUGCAACAAAAAUAUUUUGUAUUGAAAUUUCUAUUCAGUUGUCUUUCAGAAUUGGCAGCUGACAGAUAAUAUAUUAUUUCAAAUUUACACAAGCAUGAUAUGAUAGUGAAACUCUAUUAAUGUAUAUAUAUUGAUAGAUAGUUUGAUAAUGUUUCUAAAAUAUUUAUUAAAUUUUGAAUAAAGACAUCUAAUGUUAAAUGACAUAAGAAUUUGUUUUUGAAGGUAUCACAACAUUAAAACUCAAUUAUUUGAAUGUCUAGGAAAAAAGUCACAG